GGGGAGGGCGAUUAAAAGGGAAUCAGGUGCAAGUCCUGGACAGUCCCGCUGCUGUGAGUUUCGCAUAAUGUUACAGGCAACAACUCUCUCCAUGCCACUGGAAGCCUGCUUCCGGGAAGGCAGCCCGUAACAGAAACAAGUCAGAAGACCUGCCAUGCACUAU
rnacentral:ncRNA from 1 species